GAUAACCAGGAAGCAAACUUUCCCAACAGCCAUUCAAUCAUUUAAUCUAGCUUGUAAGUAAAAAACUGAGAGCGUGUUUUGCUUACAAAUUUUAUUCAAAAUGCCUUUAGUUCGUGGCGGAACUUCCGAAGCUAAAGAUGCAAAUGAAGAAGUGCAGAAAAUAUGCGACAAGAUGAAGGCUGAUGCUGAGGAAAAAGCUGGGCGCAAGUUUGACGUUUUCACUGCUAAAUCUUUUAAAACGCAGGUUGUUGCGGGGACAAAUUACUUUGUUAAGGUGCAUGUAGGUGAUGAAGACUAUGUUCAUCUGCGUGUCUACAAAACACUGCCUCAUGCUGGAGAAACACUGCAGCUGACAAGCAUACAGACAGCCAAGGCUCAUCAUGAUGCUAUUGAAUACUUCUGAAGCAGAACAACAGAAAACAUCGCCAGUACUGCCCCAAAUACACACAAACCCAUUUGUAAACACUACCUAGAAGGAGCCAGCCAAUUUUCAACAGCAUGUUUAUAAUCCAGACGAUGAAGAAUGCAUACAACAACACAGCAGGACUGCAGUACAUUGGGCCAUUAACACUCCUGAGAAAAACAAAAAAACAUACUGUAAAUCAACUUCAGAGUCAUAUUCUUAUAAAUGACAUCUCGUUUUUGUGUUAAAGCUUUACCUCCUGCAUGUAGUGAAGAGAAUGUAAGCACUCAUGAGCGACAGCCAGAUGUAAAUGACACCCCAAACUAUGCGACUGUAUUUCAGUACUGCUCAUUUUGGAGGUACUUGGAGAGACAAUUUUUUCUGAGGUGGUACUUGAUGGAUAAGUUUGAGAACCACUGA